GUGUCAGCCGCCGCGGUAAUACGAAGGGGGCUAGCGUUGCUCGGAAUCACUGGGCGUAAAGGGUGCGUAGGCGGGUUCUUAAGUCAGAGGUGAAAUCCUGGAGCUCAACUCCAGAACUGCCUUUGAUACUGAGAGUCUUGAGUUCGGGAGAGGUGAGUGGAACUGCGAGUGUAGAGGUGAAAUUCGUAGAUAUUCGCAAGAACACCAGUGGCGAAGGCGGCUCACUGGCCCGAUACUGACGCUGAAGCACGAAAGCGUGGGGAGCAAACAGGAUUAGAUACCCUCGUAGUCC
rnacentral:rRNA from 1 species